rnacentral:tRNA from 1 species
CAUAGCUGCCUUCCAAGCAGUUGACCCAGGUUCAAUUCCUGGUCAAUGCA